CACCUUAGAAAUGUAUUUUCAUCGUGUGACCUAUGCUCACAUUGCCAUGCAUGCCUGUAGUAAAAGUCUUCCCAGCUUUCUGCACCAAUACUGUGCAAUGUCUGUUAGCUUCUGCCUGUUAGCAAUUUAUACCCUAGCACAGAAAGCAAUGGCUACCAUAAUUUUCUGGCAGAUACUGUAAGAUGACUUACUACCCAUCCAACCCUUUUAGCUCGCUUUCUUGUACUUUAGAAGCUUAGAAAAUAAAAACUACAGGUUCCAGACUCAAUUGCAACAAGAAUGCUGGCCUGAGAUGAAUGAAGUGCUAGUGAAUCUUCAACAGUAGCUGGGGGAGGGGAAAGAUCCUGAUUUGUAGCACUGGCCACUUUUCAUGGUGUGAAUAACCCUAAGCUACUGAAGUCACUUCACUGUAUGUGGAGUUAAUUAAAGAAGAUGCUAAUGAUAAUGACAUAGCUUCAGCAGUAUCACUAAAUAUGACCUAAUUUCCAGCAAUCAGAUGCACCCAUUCAAAACCUGGUUGUGAAAGUGAGCAAAAUGAUGCCUCAACUUCACUCAGGGAGAUGGGAUUUUCUGGCAAACACCAUGGCAAAGGUGUCUGGUUCUUCUGAGUAGCUGGGGGGAGUUCUGACAUCCAUUUUUAGAGUUACAGGUGCUGACUGGCAGGUGGUGCUGGGAUAGGUUUCUGUGAUGUGAGAUGAGUGUCCUUCCUAGUUUGUUUCUUCCUGAAUGUUGUUUCUAGCUAUGUAUUUAGCGCCCAGAGAUCUGUGAGCUAAAUACUAUCCUUCAAGUCAUUUCUGUUUCAACUAGUUCAGUCAUGGCAAGCUAUAUAAUUUGUGAGGUUCAGAGCAAAAUGAAAAAUGUGGGGUCCUUUGUUCAAAAGGCAGGGAAAAAGUGCCAUAUAUCCUAAAAUAUAAAGUUGGUGUUUUUUUGUCUUGUCAUCUCUCCUUUAACUUGUCAUGAUUUUUCUAUUUGGUUUUUAAUGCCAUUCUAAGUAAAGAAAAAUUUGAGUUUUAAAUUAUUAGGAUAAAUUUUACCAUUCAUUUUCAUAUUGUGCAAUGCCAUUUAUAAAUGCAAAUAUAAGGGCAUUUAACUCAUACAUGGGAAUUACACAAUUCAUAUUUCAUAGCUUGUACAUGCAUAUAUGUAUUUCGUGCUUAUCAGAACAGUGUAAAUGCUGCACAAAACCAACACGGCUGUUUUUAUUUCCCUUCUUGAUUGGCACACAUCUACUAACCUGGGUAAGGAAGGCCUAAAAGGAAAAGCAACUAUGGACUGCCCUACCUGACACCUUCCUUCUAUGGCACCGUUUUCGGUGUAAAAGGUCCACCAGAAUCCUGUGCUUAUGCGGGAUCAUGAAGACUGUAUCCAAACAGGGUGGCAAGGAAGAAAGGACACAUUCCUCGCCGCCUCUGCUUGUGUAUAUGAUGCAUUGUACCACUGGACUUCAUUUGUAAAAUAGACGUUCAAACACAAAGGUAUCAAGAUUUUCAAAAUGGUGACUGCAGAGCAUUAAAUCAAGCACUGGGCCCAUCUGACCGCACAGUUGGCAUACGUGUGAACUUGAUUCUGAGUUCUGUGUUUCUCCAGGGGCUUUUCUUGGUAUUUUGAAUGAAACGGUUCAUUGCGCAGGAUAUUCAACAUCCCUGGUCCCUGAGAGUGCAUGCCACUGUGAUGAAGUGCCCCCACAGAGGAAUGACUGCUCGCCACUGAACUAGAGUGGACUCCACUGUUUACAGCCAGGAACCAUAAUCUUAUAGAUCCAGGGAAGGUCUUGUACAGUUUUUGAUAGUGAUUCUCAAGUAGAGCAAAAUAUAUAGUCAAGUUAAAUAAAUAAAUAAAUAAAAAUUUGCAUAUUCGGGAUAUCAGAAUUAUAGUGAUUUUCCCCCAUUGUCA